AAAAAGGUCUUUCUCAAGACCACCAAAACAAAAGCAUCCUG
rfam:Acyrthosiphon pisum strain LSR1 Contig24675, whole genome shotgun sequence.